rnacentral:misc_RNA from 1 species
GUUGGUGAACCAGCGGAGGGAUCAUUACCGAGUUUACAACUCCCAAACCCCUGUGAAUAUACCAUUGCUGCUUCGGCGGAUCACCCCGGGCGCUUCGGCGCCCCGGACCCAGGUGCCCGCCAGAGGACCACAACUCUGUAUCAAAUGUCGUCUGAGUACUAUAAAAUAGUUAAAACUUUCAACAACGGAUCUCUUGGUUCUG